rnacentral:lncRNA from 1 species
GGUGGGUAUAAUUAUGAAAUGAAAAUCUAUUGGCGACAAUUCCAUUCCAUCCAGACAUUCAUUGAAAGUCAGUCCGCUGUAUAAAGAGGGAUAACUCUAUUUUCAUUCAUAUUUAUUAACCUAUAUAUCUAAGUUCUGUGACUGUGGUCUUUUUAAAACAAUUUAAACUGCAUAUAUGAAGUAAUGACUAUCCUCACAACGACUAUAAU